ACGUAUCACCCAAGACAACUUUACGGAGUUGACGAUUGACGGAGCGAAGCGACGUCAAAGCGUUCAUUAAAGUCGAGUUGGCUUAGGGAUACGUUCGUUGGGUAGGGGAGCGUUCUGUAAGCCUGCGAAGGUGGCCUGUGAGGGUUGCUGGAGGUAUCAGAAGUGCGAAUGCUGACAUAAGUAACGAUAAAGCGGGUGAAAAGCCCGCUCGCCGGAAGACCAAGGGUUCCUGUCCAACGUUAAUCGGGGCAGGGUGAGUCGANCGCUUAUGCGUUGUUGGGUAGGGGAGCGUUCUGUAAGCCUGUGAAGGUGGCCUGUGAGGGUUGCUGGAGGUAUCAGAAGUGCGAAUGCUGACAUAAGUAACGAUAAAGCGGGUGAAAAGCCCGCUCGCCGGAAGACCAAGGGUUCCUGUCCAACGUUAAUCGGGGCAGGGUGAGUCGACCCCUAAGGCGAGGCCGAAAGGCGUAGUCGAUGGGAAACGGGUUAAUAUUCCCGUACUUGGUGUUACUGCGAAGGGGGGACGGAGAAGGCUAUGUUGGCCGGGCGACGGUUGUCCCGGUUUAAGCGUGUAGGUGUGUGUUCCAGGUAAAUCCGGUUCACUUUAACACUGAGGCGUGAUGACGAGGCACUACGGUGCUGAAGCAACAAAUGCCCUGCUUCCAGGAAAAGCCUCUAAGCAUCAGGUAACAUCAAAUCGUACCCCAAACCGACACAGGUGGUCAGGUAGAGAAUACCAAGGCGCUUGAGAGAACUCGGGUGAAGGAACUAGGCAAAAUGGUGCCGUAACUUCGGGAGAAGGCACGCUGAUAUGUAGGUGAAGCGGUUUACCCGUGGAGCUGAAAUCAGUCGAAGAUACCAGCUGGCUGCAACUGUUUAUUAAAAACACAGCACUGUGCAAACACGAAAGUGGACGUAUACGGUGUGACGCCUGCCCGGUGCCGGAAGGUUAAUUGAUGGGGUCAGCGCAAGCGAAGCUCCUGAUCGAAGCCCCGGUAAACGGCGGCCGUAACUAUAACGGUCCUAAGGUAGCGAAAUUCCUUGUCGGGUAAGUUCCGACCUGCACGAAUGGCGUAAUGAUGGCCAGGCUGUCUCCACCCGAGACUCAGUGAAAUUGAACUCGCUGUGAAGAUGCAGUGUACCCGCGGCAAGACGGAAAGACCCCGUGAACCUUUACUAUAGCUUGACACUGAACAUUGAGCCUUGAUGUGUAGGAUAGGUGGGAGGCUUUGAAGUGUGGACGCCAGUCUGCAUGGAGCCGACCUUGAAAUACCACCCUUUAAUGUUUGAUGUUCUAACGUGGACCCGUGAUCCGGGUUGCGGACAGUGUCUGGUGGGUAGUUUGACUGGGGCGGUCUCCUCCUAAAGAGUAACGGAGGAGCACGAAGGUUGGCUAAUCCUGGUCGGACAUCAGGAGGUUAGUGCAAUGGCAUAAGCCAGCUUGACUGCGAGCGUGACGGCGCGAGCAGGUGCGAAAGCAGGUCAUAGUGAUCCGGUGGUUCUGAAUGGAAGGGCCAUCGCUCAACGGAUAAAAGGUACUCCGGGGAUAACAGGCUGAUACCGCCCAAGAGUUCAUAUCGACGGCGGUGUUUGGCACCUCGAUGUCGGCUCAUCACAUCCUGGGGCUGAAGUAGGUCCCAAGGGUAUGGCUGUUCGCCAUUUAAAGUGGUACGCGAGCUGGGUUUAGAACGUCGUGAGACAGUUCGGUCCCUAUCUGCCGUGGGCGCUGGAGAACUGAGGGGGGCUGCUCCUAGUACGAGAGGACCGGAGUGGACGCAUCACUGGUGUUCGGGUUGUCAUGCCAAUGGCACUGCCCGGUAGCUAAAUGCGGAAGAGAUAAGUGCUGAAAGCAUCUAAGCACGAAACUUGCCCCGAGAUGAGUUCUCCCUGAGACUUAGAGUCUCCUGAAGGAACGUUGAAGACGACGACGUUGAUAGGCCGGGUGUGUAAGCGCAGCGAUGCGUUGAGCUAACCGGUACUAAUGAACCGUGAGGCUUAACCUUACAACGCCGAAG
rnacentral:rRNA from 1 species